rnacentral:lncRNA from 1 species
AAAAAUACAGAAGUGAGCGCACCCUGAGACUCUCCUCUCUCCCUCAUUUUUUAGCCAACACCAUCAACCCCAUUUUUUAUUGGGUUAAAUAAAAAAUAGGUCGGAUAUUUCCGUGAGCAGUAAGCAGCAGAUCUCCCCGCGUGUGAAUUCUUUAAAAGCAAAGGGCGGCCUAAUUCGACAUUGUGUUGUUUACUCUGAUCCGGUCGAGGUAAUUUUCGUUUACCAGCACGUAGGUCCUAUUAACCUAGACUAAUUAAAAUCAUAUUUUUAACAUUCUUAGUAUCUACGUGAUACAUACAUGGCACAACAUACCGAAGGGUCCACAUAGGCACACGUGUGUGCCACGUAUGUGCCACGUAGGCACUAAGUUUUUCAAAAAUACACGUGACACAUACAUGACACAACACACUUAAGGGUCCACGUAGGUGUUGGAUGGUAAAAUUUUGAGUUGGGAAAAUAAAUAAUCGAGACAAGAAAAAUAUUGCAACAAUCGUUUUAUUGAUUCCAAUAAGUAAGUGUUACAAUCUCUAUGAAUCCUCUGAUUCGUCUUUUCAAAUAUAAAUUGAAGGGCUUGAAGUUUGAUCUUGAAUUUGAUGGACUUGAGAGACUUGAUCUUGACUUGUGCUUGAAUUCAAGGGCUUUGAAGCUUGUUCUUGAAUAUUGCGGUCCUGAUCUUGAAUCUUGAUGAACUUGAUUUGAAUGCUUAAGCUUUUUAGAGAAAUUGCAAUGUUUGAUCCACGAGCUUUCUCUUGCUACUUGUUAGAAUUCUAGGGGAUCCUUUUCUGAAUUAUGAUACCCCUAUUUAUAAUUGUAGGAAAUGAAGAGUCGUGAUGAAUAUAAAACUUCCUUUGACCAAUCAGAUUUAAGUGAUGUGACGUCUUUUUAUGGACUUUUAUUUCAUGGACCUGCUGCAUCAUUUUGACAUGUGGCGUGGUUCUACUGGCUCCUUCACUUGACUUGAUAUGCCACGUUAUAUGACACAUGGCGCUUAUUUGGGCCUCUAGAAUAUGACAAUAUCUUGGGUUUAUUAAAGUCGGCUCAUCAUUUGUAGCCCAAAUCAAUAGGCUAACCCAAUAAAAAAUUGGACUUUAAUUAAACCCAUAUAUGUUUGGACUUAAAUAAUUAAUCCGAUUAUAUUAAUCCACAAUAUUUAUUUGGGACUAAUAUAUUUUGAAUUUAAUAUAAUUCGAAUUUUAUACGAAUUUAAAUUUAAUAAAAUUGAAUCACGCACAAAUUCCCCUACUUCAAGACUUGUCAAGAAAUUUAUUUAUUUAAACCGAAGACUAAUCUUGAAUUACCGUCAAAUUUAACUUAAUAUCGGGUCGUGUGCACUUUCAAAGCACAUAGGAGUAUAUGUUUUAAAAUUAAUCACUAGCUAAUGAUUAUGUUUGCCAUUAGGAUAUCAAAAAAGAAAAAAAAAGAAUGCUUGCCAUUUAUACUUUCCAUAUUGGGAAAGUCCAAAACCAUUGUACAUUGUAAACUAAUAACGUGAAUCAGUAGCCUUACCUUUUCAAAUUAUGUAAACAUAACAACAGAUAACGUUAGAAUGUGAUUAGGAUUUUAAUUGGUAUGCAUCGCCUCAACAAGCUGUGUUCGAGCAGAACACAGAUUCUUCUACAACCGCCACUCACCUAUUAUAAAUACCCCGUGUUCAUUGUUUUGCAUCAUAUUCUAAAGCACUCUCAUCAGCAGCAACCUUGUGGUGGAUUGGAAUCAAUCAAGGUAUUUCUUUUUCCUUUCCUUGUGGUUUCUUUUUUUCUUCUUUUGUAAGGUUGAAGUAAAUAGCAAUAUGCAACACUCGGCUUAGGGUGCGAGAGUUUAACUUCAUCUCCAUACACUCUAAGACUGACAAAUUUAACUGUAAGAUGGUGACUUUGCAACAAUCGGCUUAGGAUGCGAGAGUUUAACUUCGCCUCCGUACAUUCUAAGAUCAACCAAUUUGACUUCAAGAUGCUGACUUUAUAACAAUUGGCUUAGGGUGCGAGAGUUUAACUUUGCCUCCGUACACUCUAAGACCGACCAAUUUGACUCCAAGAUGGUGGCUUUGCAACAAUUGGCUUAGGGUGCGAGAGUUUAUCUGUACACUCUAAGACCGACCAAUUUGACUUCAAGAUGCUGACUUUGCAACAAUCGGCUUAGGGUGCGAGAGUUUAUCUGUACACUCUAAGACCGACCAAUUUGACUUCAAGAUGCUGACUUUGCAAUAAUCGGCUUAGGGUGUGAGAGUUUAACUUCGUCUCCCUACACUUUAAGACCGACCAAUUUGACUCCAAGAUGGUGGCUUUGCAACAAAUCCAUCAGAAUGUCAGCUUAAGGUGCAAAGGGACAAAUUUUGUCCACCUUAAGGCAUGGAAAUUUUGAGAUCCUUUUAAGGAAAAAUCCGCGAGAGGCCAGCUUAAGGUGCAAAGGGACAAAUUUUGUCCACCUUAAGGCAUGGAAAUUUUGAGAUCCUUUUAAGGAAAAAUCCGCGAGAGGCCAGCUUAAGGUGCAAAGGGGCAAAUCUUGUCCACCUUAAGGCAUGAAAACAUCAAUAUCCUUUAAGGAUAAACUCGUUAGAGGCCUGCUUAAGGUGCAAAGGGACAAAUUUUGUCCACCUUAAGGCAUGAAAAUUUUGAGAUCCUUUUAAGGAUAAACCCACGAGAGGCCAGCUUAAGGUGCAAAGGAACAAAUUUUCUCCACGUUAAGGCAUGGAACUUUUGAGAUCCUUUUAAGGAUAAACCCGCGAGAGGCCAGCUUAAGGUGCAAAGGGACAAAUUUUGUCCACCUUAAGGCAUGUAACUUUUGAGAUCCUUUUAAGGAUAAACCCGCGAGAGGCCAGCUUAAGGUGCAAAGGGACAAAUUUUGUCCACCUUAAGGCAUGGAACUUUUGAGAUCCUUUUAAGGAUACACCCGCGAGAGGUCAGCUUAAGGUGCAAAGGGAUAAAUUUUGUCCACCUUAAGGCAUAGAAAUUUUGAUAUUCUUUUAAGGAUAAAACCAUGAGAGGCAUGUAAAUUUUUAGAUCCUUCUAGUUGUAGGCUCGGAGAACUUUGGCAUUCCAAAUUCUAUUGAAGGAACUCUUUUUCUUUUCGACGGGUUGCCCCCAUUGAGUCACAAAUAUUUAGAGUAAGUCCAAAAUUUAAUUAUAAUAUUUUCAUACUUGGUAUCCAUAUGGUAGAUACUGCAGGAACAUAUUUUUUUUUUGACACUCAUGCAACUGAACUCAGAAUGAAAUUUCAAGCGCCUAAGUACCUUAGUAAAGAGGAUCAAGUCACAACAUAGUUCUGGGUGAGUGUUUUUUUUUGUGUCCUAACUUUUGCCUAGGCCGCCUCUUUCGAGAUUUUCAACCUAGCGGACUUUUAUUUUUUUAUUUUUUUAGUCGAACACAGUUUAUACUCUUGCGGGUCAGGAGUGGACAUGCAGUUUAUACUAGUGCCUUAAGGAGUGUACAUGCAGUUUAUACUCGUGCCUUAAGGAGUGUACAUGCAGUUUAUACUCGUGCCUUAAGGAGUGUUAUCUUCCUUUAGGGAUAGUACUUCUUCAAGAACUUGGCGUUGAUGGGACUAAUCCCCACACCAUCUGCAUCGACAAGCUUGUAAGCACCAUUUGAAUAUGCCUCUUGUAUGACAUAUGGUCCAUCCCACUUCGAGGUGAAUUUACCCCCAGACUUAUGAGAAGUGAUAAUAGGUCUCCUUACUGCAAAGACUUGGUCUCCAACUUGGAAGCACCUCAAGUAAACCCUUUUAUUGAAAGAACAAGAUAGCCGGGCUUGAUAGCAUUCAAAAUUUUGUUGAACCUCCAGCCUCUUCUCAUCAAGAGCUUCUAACUCCGCAAGACGCAACUUAGCAUUUUUGUUCAUUAGUGAGCCCUUCUUGAAUAGCCAGUCUCAAAGAAGGUAUUUGAUGCUUAAGUGGCAGAACUGCUUCAACUCUAAAAGUAAGCGAGUAUGGAGUUGCUUGCAUUGGUGUACGUUAAGUUGUCCUAUACGCCUAUAAAGCUUCUUUCAUUCUCUCAUGCCAGUCUCGUUUGGAUUUGGAGACGACUUUCUUCAAUAAGUUGCAUAAAGUCUUAUUGAAUGUUUGGGCUAGACCACUGGCGGCAGCAUGGUAAAUAGAAGACUUGCGCUGCUUGAAGCCAAAGAGAUCACAAAUCUUAUUCAUCAGUUUAUUAUCGAACGGUUUGCCAUUGUCAGUUAUUAUAUAUUGAGGGAUUCAAAAGCGGUAGACGAUAUUCACUCGGAUGAAGUUUGCAACAUUUUCUUUCUUUACUUCCUUGAGAGCAACAACUUCGGACCAUUUUGAGAAGUAAUAUAAUCUAUCGCGGCCAAGAUGUAUAAGUAUCCACCAGAAGAUUUUGGUAAUGAACCAAUAACAUCCAUUCCCCAAGUAUUGAAUAGCCAAGAUGCUACAGUUGGGUGUAGUACUUCUGGAGGUUGAUGUAUGAAGUUUGCAUGGAAUUAGCAAGCUUUGCAUCUUCUGGCAUAGUCCAAGCAACCUUUCACCAUCGUUGGUGUAACACCCCGUAUUCAAGUACAUAUAUUGGCAUAUUCAAGUACAUGUAUUGGUCUUAUUUAUAUGGAAUUUAUUUUAUUUUAUUUUAUUUAUACCGAAAUUUUCCCGUCGAUGGUUCCAUACGAAGGUUAUUGAAUAAGAUUUCCAACGAUAUAAAGAUUUCCAAAAACGGAUAGGUUUCAAAUAUAAUCGAGCACGUUCGAAACUAUAAAACGGUGGCUGGGAUAUUGGGAAUAGUAAAUGUGCAGGAAAAUUUCCUGCACACAAACUAUUGAGGUCAGCCUUUUUUUGGGUCAACUUUGAACGAUCAUAACUCCCUUAAUAUAAUGAACUGGGAGAGCUUCCACCUAUUAAAAGAAAUAUCUUUGAGUCUUCUUUCCGAUGCAAUUGGUUUCAUCCAAAUCCAACAUCUGAGUAAGGAGUUAUACUCGUUUUACUUUAGCCUCUCAAAACAGAUUUUUAGGGUCAAGUUCAAACGAUCAUAACUCCUUGUACAGGACGAACUGGGUGGCCUACUUUAUAUGAAAUGAAAUCCCUUUGAAUUAUGUUUCUAACGAUCCCAAUUUCACCCAAAUACGAUAUUGGAGGAAAGAGUUAUGGUCGAUUUACUUUAGCCUAUCAAAACAGUCCACCAUGGACAGAUUCGGAUUUACUUAAAUUUUAAGGGCAAUAUGGUCAUUUUCCAUCACCUCAUGGACGAAAAUUGGUCAUUAUAUACAUAUACUUAGCCUCAUAUCCAUCAUUUAUCAUCCAAAUUAUUGAAGAAUAAGAAACCCUAGCCUAAGUUCAACUCCAAUUAUCUUGUGAUUCAACCGUAGAAAAUCCAAAUUGAUUCCGUAGUUGUGUUCACCGUCUCGAGGGCUUCGAGAAGCACCCCUUAUUUGUGCCAACAGGACUUCGAAAUCAAAAGGGCCAUUUUAUGGUAAGGAUGUAAAUUAUGUUGGUGUUAUUUAUAUGGAUAUGUAUAUAUAUAUAUGCAUGUGAGCAUAAGAAGUAUGUUAUUUGAUUGUUGUUGAAAGAUGAUUGGGAAAUGAUGUUGGAUUAUGUUGAAUGGUGAAGGAAUUUGGUGUGAUGAUGUGGUAUUGAAAUGAUGAUUAUAUAUAUAUACACACAUAAACCUAUUGUUCAAGUUGAUUUUUGGAAUGUUUUGCAAAUAUUGGUAGUAUGGAAUUAUGGAAGAGAAUUGUGGUGUUGGGUUGCUAAUACUAGAUGCCAAACAUUUCAUUGUAGAUAAGUGAUUUGUAAAGGCGGGAAGUUGUGUUGAAUUGGUAUCCGAAUCUACAACGAGGUAUGUAAAGCAUACUCUAACGAUGUUCUUUGGCAUGAAAACACCAAUGUUCCAUCAAGUAAGAUUCCGAGGUUGUCCAAAAACAUGUAUUGUUCUACAUUACCAACGAAGUUGUUUCCAUUCUAUAAAGUGUCAAAAUGUUUCAUUGAUAUACCGAAAGGCUCCUAUUUCAUUGUUGUGAUAUUGAUGAUUCCGAAACACAUUGUUGAUGUACCAAUGAGUCUUUAUUACAUCGUUAUUGUAUAGAAAGUCUAUUACUUGGUUCCUAUUGAUGUAUCAUUAUUCCAAAGGUACUAUAUUGGCAUGAACACUAAUGUAAUAAUCUCAAAAGCUUUUGAACUAAGUUAUUGGAAAGAUCUCUUAUGUGUGUUACUUGAUAUACGUGUGGGUGGUAGCUCAGGGGCUUAAGCCUAGCAUGGGCCGAUCCCAAUAUUUGAUAUGAUUAUAGUUGAUAUGUACCGGGGGUAGCCUAAUGGUCACAGUAUGGUACAGUAUUGAUUAUUGUUAGGUGGUUGGAGGUUCGGGAGGAGGAGGUAAUGGCGAAUGAUAAUUGUAAAGAAUGAAAUGAACGAAUGUAUACCGUUCCACAAAUGUGUUUGAAUUCCAGAACCCAAUUCAGAUUAAUGAUAAGAUAAUGUACAUGAUCCUAAAAGUGUUUAUGAAGUGUGGUUCACUUCUAUUAUGAUUUAUUCACUUGCGUCUGACUUUCUUGAUCCCCCAUACCGCAUAUAAUUAUUUACAGCUUUAUAUACUCAGACAUAUUUCGUACUGAUGUCCCUCACGGGGGACUUGCAUUUCAUGCUGCAGGCACAGGUGCUUCAGCUCAUUCACAGCAUAGAUAGG